AGAGGACGGUAUGUCUUUCCAUACUUCAAGGAUCUUCUUGAAGAGGUGUUCAUUUGCUUCCACAGAGAGAGCUUCAGCGUUGAAGGUGAGCAUCAUGCCAAUUCCCAAGGAAUCAGGUAAAAUGAUGAUAUUCUGUGGUAUAAUGAGUUCCAAGGGCUGGAAUUAUGUUUCAUAAAAAAUUAUAUGUUCAACAUUUUACCACUACUAUUGUAAUUGAAGCAGCUUGGCUGAGCAAUAAAGAUCAAAGAGAUUCAAAGUGUAGGAAGGAAGGUAACAAAAGAGUUGCUUUCCUUAUGCCAUAAUGUGAUCACUAUUUAAUAUUUUCCUUUUUAUUUAGGAGAAAGAAUGGUUUGAAAAAAUAAGAGAUACAUUUCCUAAUACAGAGAAAUUGGUUUAAAUUACACAAAGUAUAAUGUAUAGUUAUUGAAAAAAAAUAGACAAGAGACUUGGAUUUAAGUUUCAUUUCAGAAAUAAUUUGAUGAAUAAUUUGAUAAUGAAUGUGUCCACCAAGUAAUGAGUACACAAUCCUUGGUUGUCAGUAAAAUUUGUUAAAAUAAAAAUAGAAAAUAAACCUAAAAAUAGCUUGAGCUUAACACACUUAUAAGGGGCAACUUUAUAUUCAUCAUAGCUUGAAAUAUAAUAGUCAUAAACCUUUGCAAAAAAUGUAGAAUUUCUUAUCAAAUUUUCAUAAUCUUAAAAAUCGGUUGAAUACAAGAUUCAGAGAUGUAUUAGGUAGUAUAAGAGGAAAUACUAAGAAAUAUCUAAGUACUUCCAAAUUUCAUGAUGCAUAAAAUGUGACAAAAUUGGCUUAAACUACAGAUAUUCCCUGAUAAUGAACAAUUGUGUUCUUUUCUCCAAAUUAGAAGGUAAAAAAAAAAAAAAAAAGAUCAAAAGCUAUACUUGCCAAACCCAGCGUACUCAGACCAAGGGCUUGAGGCCAUGUCUCAGCAACAACAAUCCUUAAAACUAAAAUGGGGAUCCAGAGGCGAAAAGCAAUUUUAAUACGCUCCCUGGGCACUUGCAUGAGCAAUUGAAUCAGGAAAGAGAUGAAUGAAGAGAAUAAAAGAAAAUUGCAAGAAAGAAGUUUGUCUCAGUAAAAUCUGUAAACAAUAAAACUGGACUGCUGCAAAUCGAGACAGACUCUGAGGUUAUUAUCUUCUUUCUGAAGUAACCAGAUAUUCUGUAGCACACGUGGCUCCCUUGUAACAUUACAUGUUUUAUAAUCUAGAACUCUUGAAAAGUUAUUAUUUUUAGUACAUUCUGUUUCAGAAGACACCCCUUGUCUCCCUUAGAGUCAGCUUUCUUUUAAUGGGUCAAGAUACUAGGGCAUUCUUCUAAAAAUAUUUUUGAAUAUAUAUAAGGUAUCCUAAUUAGGUCAGAACAUGACUUUUAAAAAUGCAUCAUUUCUCAUUGUAGCUUCCACAGUAAUUAAUGAAUUUAUUCAAAAAUGAAAUAUUUUUUGUUUUUUCAUCAGGUGAAACACUGAGUUAAACUUCUUGAAUGACUUUUCAAAUAAAUAUAAACUUGGACCAAUGCUGCAAUGUUCAAUAUUGCCCUGUAUUCUAAAUAAAUUCUCUUUGACCCACAUAAAAAGUAAGAUGCAGAAAUCUAUAAAAAUGUAAUACAAUAUUCACAAUAUAUAAAAGAAUAAUAUAAUAUUCAUAUCAAAAUUAUUUUGACCUUAUAUCUAAGUGGUUUUAUCUGAGGUUGGUUCAGUAUUUUUCACAUUAUAAACAUGGUAAGUUGCAUAUAAUCAUAGAAAAUCACUGGUGAUCAGCUAAUUAUUAUUAAUAUAAGCAAAAUCCUUUAAAAAGUAUUCAUUAAUGUACUGACAAUUGAUCCAUGUAAUUUAUUACAGAGGUAUGAGAUGAUUCUGAAGGCUAUUCAAAAAUAUCACAUCUAUACUAAUUUAAUAGUGUGUACAAUUUUUCUCCAGGAAUUUUUAUACCAUGCUAAGCUGUUAUGAUUUUAAUUGUUAAUAAAUGGGAAUUAAAAAAAUAGUUGAUGUAAAAAAAGGUGAUACAGGCUUUCCUUUUAAAUGUAAUUUUCAACAGGAAAAUCAGCAUUGCCACCUUCAAAUUUUAGACAAAGAAUUGUGUUUUGUAUGGUGUGCAUGUAGGGGUAUUAUAUUAUAUUUAAGUAUUUUAUGUAAAUUAUGUGAGUAUAUUUUUAAAACAAUUCAUAUUUUAGGUGCUGCACCAUAUUUUCACUACUUAAGAGUUUAGGUACAUUUGCUUUUGCAAUGCUGAACCCUUUGAUCAGAAAUUAAAAGUGUAAGUGGUAUGAUAAAACAACAUUUUAUGAUAAUUUACUAUGUACCACUGUUAAAGUAAUGCAAUAAAAGAGGAUAUACAUAACAAUUCCAUGAUACUGUCAUUGCAUUUUAAAAAAUCUAUUAAUAUAUUGUGGGGUACAGAAGGACUAAGGCAAGGACUUCAAACUCAAAUACCUCUUAGGGCUAAUUAUUAUAAAUAUGGAAAGAUAUAUAGAUAGAGAUUGUAGAGCAUAUAUCCUAUCUAAAUGCUCUACAAUUUCUAUCUAAAAAGGGGCAAGUAUAAAUCAGUUCAAGUUGACAGUGGCCAGUUAGUAACAUGGGCCUGAGGUUUCCAGGUAUUCCAGUUUAUCAAUAGAAGUACAGAUUUUAGAUGUAAACUUUACUUAUUAAAAAAUAAGCCAGGUGAUAGACAAACAAAAUAUUUCUGCAGAAUAAACUCAGCUAUCUGGACUCAGAAGUCAUCAGUGAUGUUUGUUUAAGUGUGACCACUUUAUGGAAAUCUAUACUUACAUUUUAGGUCUCCAUUCAAGUAUAGAUAUUGUUACUCACAUGUUUGAACCUUUCAGUUUUGAUGGUUGUAAAUAUUCAGUGUUAUACAAUAAUAUCUAGGGAUCUGAGAGUAGUAUCUUACAUUAUUUGGCAGGGUCACAUCAGACAUAACUUCAGAUUCUGCAUCGAUGAUGUGAUAUCCAUCUGCUGAGCUGAAGAAAAUCUUUAGUGUUUUCUCAGAACCAAUAGCCAGGUCAACUGUCACUGGCUUAUGACCAAGAGUUGGAAAUACCUGAAAAUAUAAAAACAAGUAUGGCCAAAAGGCAUUCGAACUAAGGUAAAAAUUUCCCCACUCUUUUCCAGGUUUGUAGGUUUAUAAAACCCAGGUUAAUUUUCAAAAUUGUAUAUUGUAUUUAAAGACCUAUGUAUUAGAACUUUUCUUAGGUCUGUUACAACAACAAAGACAAAUAUAUUUAGGUUCUAAAUAUUGUUUCCCUUCAAAUAUCAAAAUGCUAAUGAUUGUAAGAGCCUCAUAUGCCCCUGCACUGUUUGCUGUCUUUAAGUUUCUUGCCUUGAGCUUCAGCAAAUGAAGGAGCUCAUCUGGUCUCUUAAACCGGUUUGCUGGAUCAGCUGCCUGUAUUUUUGCCAGUAUUCGUAUAUAGGCUUCAUAGGACAUGUAGUCUCCUUCGGAGUCUGCUGAUUGAUCAAUGCAUACUUGAUAAGGAAUGAAAAAGGCCAUAAAUGUUAACCUACUAUAGACUGGGUGUAACCUAGGCUCUAUGGUUUCUAAUCCAAGGAAACAAAAGGCCAAUCAGGAUUCAUUGCCAUGAUCAGGUCACCAUGGAGGACUGAGCAUCACAGGAUUCACCAUACUGUAGUCAUGAGUUGGAAUUCAAGAACUGGAGUGAGGACUUGGACAGGAACUGUGUAUGAGGCUAUACAGAUUGUUGGUACUUAUCUCUUUUGUUUUCCAUUUCAUACCAGGUAGCUCUGACCAAUCAGCAGACACCCAAGAACAAACCCAUAUCCAAACACUGACAGCAGGGCCAAAGCCCAAUUUAGGAAGAUCAGUCAGGGAUGUGAUUUGUCAGGACACACCCAGACUAUCUAUGUAGUAAACUA
rnacentral:lncRNA from 1 species